GGCACGAUGGCGGAGUGGUCUAACGCGUGAGACUUGAAUUGUUAAUACAUCUCAUUUCCUCGGAAGCGCAGGUUCGAAUCCUGCUCGUGUCG